UACAUAGGGGGCAAGCGUUAUCCGGAUUUACUGGGCGUAAAGGGCUCGUAGGCGGUUUAAUAAGUCGGAUGUGAAAACUUUGGGCUCAACCCAAAGACGCCAUUCGAUACUAUUAUGACUAGAGUCUGGUAGAGGUGAGUGGAAUUCCCGGUGUAGCGGUGGAAUGCGUAGAUAUCGGGAGGAACACCAAUGGGGCGAAGGCAGCUCACUGGCACAAUACUGACCCUCAGGGACGAAGGCUAAGGUAGCGAAAAGG
rnacentral:rRNA from 1 species